rnacentral:rRNA from 1 species
CACGUAGGGCGCAAGCGUUGUCCGGAAUUAUUGGGCGUAAAGAGCUCGUAGGUGGUUUGUUACGUCUGUGUGAAAACCUAGGGCUUAACCCCGGGCGUGCAGUGGAUACGGGCUGGCUAGAGGCAGGCAGGGGAGAACGGAAUUCCCGGUGUAGCGGUGAAAUGCGCAGAUAUCAGGAGGAACACCGGUGGCGAAGGCGGGUCUCUGGGCAGUUACUGACGCUGAGAAGCGAAAGCAUGGGGAGCGAACAGG